rnacentral:rRNA from 1 species
GGGAAUAUUGCGCAAUGGGGGAAACCCUGACGCAGCAACGCCGCGUGCGGGAUGAAGGCCUUCGGGUUGUAAACCGCUUUCAGCAGGGAAGAUCCAAGACGGUACCUGCAGAAGAAGCCCCGGCUAACUACGUGCCAGCAGCCGCGGUAAUACGUAGGGGGCGAGCGUUAUCCGGAUUCAUUGGGCGUAAAGCGCGCGCAGGCGGGUUGCUAAGCGGGACCUCUAAUCUCAGGGCUCAACCUUGAGCCGGGUCCCGAACUGGCAGCCUCGGGUUCGGUAGGGGAGAUCGGAAUUCCCGGUGUAGCGGUGGAAUGCGCAGAUAUCGGGAAGAACACCGAUGGCGAAGGCAGAUCUCUGGGCCGCAACCGACGCUGAGGCGCGAAAGCUAGGGGAGCGAACAG